rnacentral:misc_RNA from 1 species
AAGUCGUAACAAGGUCUCCGUAGGUGAACCUGCGGAGGGAUCAUUACCGAGUGAGGGCGCCUCGCGCGUCCGACCUCCCAACCCUUUGAUUUGAUCAAGACCUCCUAUCUGCCUCGGGGGCGACCCGGACCCACGCGGGUGCGCGGUCCCCCCGGCGGUAACCUCAUCCAACCCUCGCAUCAAUUGUCGUCGGAGUAAUGAAGUUUAAUUCAAUUAAAACUUUCAACAACGGAUCUCUUGGUUCUG